rnacentral:rRNA from 1 species
CCUACGGGAGGCAGCAGUGGGGAAUAUUGGACAAUGGGCGCAAGCCUGAUCCAGCCAUGCCGCGUGUGUGAAGAAGGCCCUCGGGUUGUAAAGCACUUUCAGCGAGGAAGAACGCCUAGCGGUUAAUACCCGCUAGGAAAGACAUCACUCGCAGAAGAAGCACCGGCUAACUCCGUGCCAGCAGCCGCGGUAAUACGGAGGGUGCAAGCGUUAAUCGGAAUUACUGGGCGUAAAGCGCGCGUAGGUGGCUUGAUAAGCCGGUUGUGAAAGCCCCGGGCUCAACCUGGGAACGGCAUCCGGAACUGUCAAGCUAGAGUGCAGGAGAGGAAGGUAGAAUUCCCGGUGUAGCGGUGAAAUGCGUAGAGAUCGGGAGGAAUUCCAGUGGCGAAGGCGGCCUUCUGGACUGACACUGACACUGAGGUGCGAAAGCGUGGGUAGCAAACAGGAUUAGAUACCCUGGUAGUCCACGCCGUAAACGAUGUCGACCAGCCGUUGGGUGCCUAGCGCACUUUGUGGCGAAGUUAACGCKAUAAGUCGACCGCCUGGGGAGU